GAUGAACGCUGGCGGCGUGCUUAACACAUGCAAGUCGAGCGAUGAAGUUUCCUUCGGGAAACGGAUUAGCGGCGGACGGGUGAGUAACACGUGGGUAACCUGCCUCAUAGAGUGGAAUAGCCUUCCGAAAGGAAGAUUAAUACCGCAUAAUGUUGAAAGAUGGCAUCAUCAUUCAACCAAAGGAGCAAUCCGCUAUGAGAUGGACCCGCGGCGCAUUAGCUAGUUGGUGGGGUAACGGCCUACCAAGGCGACGAUGCGUAGCCGACCUGAGAGGGUGAUCGGCCACAUUGGGACUGAGACACGGCCCAGACUCCUACGGGAGGCAGCAGUGGGGAAUAUUGCACAAUGGGGGAAACCCUGAUGCAGCAACGCCGCGUGAGUGAUGAAGGUUUUCGGAUCGUAAAGCUCUGUCU
rnacentral:rRNA from 1 species